GACGAACGCUGGCGGCGUGCCUAACACAUCCAAGUCGAACGGACUUACAUUGAAGCCUAGCGAUAUGUCAGUUAGUGGCGGUUGGGUGAGUAACGCGUGGGUAACAUGCCUUGUACAGGGGGACAACACUUAGACAUAGGUGCUAAUACCGCAUAAGCGCACAGUGUAGCCUGCAACAGUGUGACAAACUCCGGUGGUACAAGAUGGAACCGGCUUGGAUUAGCUAGUUGGUGAGGUAACGGCCCACCAAGGCAACGAUCAGUAGCCGGCCUGAGAGGGUGAACGGCCACAUUGGGACUGGGACACGGCCCAAACUCCUACGGGAGGCAGCAGUGGGGAAUAUUGCACAAUGGGGGAAAGCCUGAUGCAGCGACGCCGCGUGAGUGAAGAAGUAUUUCGGUAUGUAAAGCUCUAUCAGCAGGGAAGAAAAAGACGGUACCUGACUAAGAAGCUCCGGCUAAAUACGUGCCAGCCGCCGCAGUAAAAC
rnacentral:rRNA from 1 species